rnacentral:piRNA from 1 species
UGGAUUAACAUUUUCGGUGAUGUCCUGGUA